AAGAUCCACACCUGCGGUCCAGUUUCCCAAUAACUUGCGGUGACAUACCCUGGUUUGCCCUCCACUCACCGCCAGAUCGUUGUUUUUACAACCUGAAACAUCCCACUCACCCCAACUCUCCAUCUGCCUGCCUACGCGCUCUGCUUGCUACCUGCCUCGGUGUUUAAAAUGACCAAACCCAAAAGCAGGCCUUGCCCUCACUGCCAGGUCAUGAAUACUGUCAACCGCAAAACAUGCCUUUCAUGUUUUGCAAGCCUCUCACAAAAAAAGAGGAUUAAGUCC